GGAUAGCUCAGUUGGUUAGAGCAUGGUGCUACUAAUACCAAGGUUGCAAGUUUGAUCCCCGUAUUGGACA